CAUGCAACGUAAUAAAGCAGUCAAAUGUACCGAUACACAACCACCCAAAACGAUAAAGUAUAUUAAUAUAAUGACGCUACGUCUCACUAUACCCCGAAUUUCAAUGAUUCCUCCAUAUCAGUCAGUGUAGAAAAAAAAGACGAACUGGAGAUGGAAGAACAGUUUCCCACCAUCUUUGGCAUUUUCGGCCAUUUCCUAAUAAGCGCAGCAAUUCCUGAUGGCUGUAGCAUUGCACAUUGGGAGGGAAGAAUGAUACUCUUUUUGCAGAUAUUUAUUUCGAUAUCACUACAUAGGGCCUAUCCUAGUCAUUGGAAAGGUGCCAAUUUCCAGCGAUAUUCUCCUAUUUUUAGAAAUAAUUAAAAGCUUUGCACAAAUUUCAUUCCUACCUCACUUAUUUCGUACAUCUCAGAAGUUUGAUGAACUUGGGAAAUCCCAACAUAUGACAAAUGCAAUGGGAAAGAUAAUUGAUAGUUUUCCAACGAAAAAGUGGGAUUUAAUAUGUAUAUGAGAGAGGAUAGUAAAAUGUGCCAAAUUUUGGGUUAACUAGAGGCAAUCUAAAGUAUGAAGUAAGUGAACUACUAGACAAACAUCUACAGAAACAAAGUAUGGAAAUAAAUGAAGAUAGACAAACGAAAAGCAUACUAUUUCGAAAACGAAUCAAUAUUUAGUCAAUUUUUAGAUCCAAAAUCCAUUCAUUUAAAAACAGACCAUGCCAUCUAUUUGGAAGCAAAACUGUAGUUAUUCACCUCAAAGCGAAAGUAUAAGGAAAAAAAAAUAAGCCG